rnacentral:misc_RNA from 1 species
GAUGAAGAACGUAGCGAAAUGCGAUAAGUAAUGUGAAUUGCAGAAUUCAGUGAAUCAUCGAAUCUUUGAACGCACCUUGCACCCUUUGGCAUUCCGAAGGGUAUGCUCGUUUGAGUGUCAUUGUACUCUCACACUCUCCGAUCCUAUGGAUUCGGGGAGCGGUGGACUUGGGUGUUGCUGCCUUUCCCUGUGGCUCACCUCAAAUGCGUCAGUGCACCUCUUGGUUGGACAUAGUACGGCGUGAUAAGUGUCUUCGCCGGCACCUCGCAAGAGGGUGGCCGAUCGGGAGCUCUGCGCUUUCAAACCGUCUUCGGACAAUUUCUGACAUCUUGACCUCAAAUCGAGUAGGACUACCCGCUGAACUUAAGCAUAUCAAUAAGGGGGA